AAAUAUUCCACAACAUCUAAUUUUUUAUCAUAUAUUUAUAUACUAGUUAUUAUAUGUAUCAAUUAUAUUUAUUAUUCUUUAUGCAAUUUUGAAACAAAUGUGUAUCAACAUCGUAUCUAAUUCGGAUCACUGCGUGACCUCUACGACCAUGUAAAAAAGAUCUACAUAUGAGAGACUGAAAAAUAUGGGGACACAUUUUUAACUAACAUUACCUACUCUACUUAAACGAAACCCAUUGAUAUACCAUGACCAAAGUAGGCUUAUAUAAUUAUUGGAUAAUGGUGCAUGGUGGGGACAGGCACUUUCACUUGUAGUUGAUAUUUUGUCCGUACUUGUCGCCGCAAUCAUGCACGCUCUUGAGAAAGGUGAGAUAGGUUUUUAAGAAGAACAUUUAAUAAGACGUUUUUACUUGGUAUGAAGGAGUGUCUUACAAGGAAGUGUACUAUAUUUAUCAUUGAAAGAGAAUCAAAAUAAAGUCUGGAGGACCAUAUUGUUAAAAUGUGGGAAGGACAGAAGAUUUUUAGAAAGAAUAAUAAUGGAUCUGAGUCACAGUCGUCAAUCAGAGAAUUGACAAACUGUUUUAAAAGAAGUAUCCUGUUAAUUGAUAAUAUUCCAGCAUUGAAUUGGCCAACCAUUGAUGCUCAGCAAUCUGUUACUUCAUUUAAGAAUAAAAGAUGAUGACGUCGAUCCAGAAAUGUAUCAUUAUGCACUGAAUUAUUAUUAUGCUAAGGAAAUGAACGCAACAAAGGAAUAUUCCAUUGUGCAAUAGAUUGGACUGGCUUUCAAUUGGUAUGUACCAAGAAUCUGUAUUUUCAUCUCGAUUUUGUUCUCGCUGGUAAUUAUUAGAUCCUCAACAAGAAUGUUGCCACGAUAAGAUCAUGCCUCAACAAACUGUUCAAUCCUCCAUGACUGCUGGAUUUUCAUUGAAUAAGAACGAUUAUUAUUCGUAUGAAAAUAGAAAAGAAAAAUAUCUUCAUAAAGGUUCAGGGAUAUCAUUUGAUAAUAUGUAUUCGUCAGUUAGUCGAUGGUUUCUCGUCGAAAGAUUCAUUAUAUUCUCUACCGAAAGAUUCAUUAUUUUAUUACGCAAAGAUUGAGAAAAGCAAGAGAACUAUCCAAGAGAUCAUCGGAAUCAUCUGAAAGGAUAUUGAAGAACAUAGAGAUGAAGACAGAGUAAAUUUAUGUAUCGAAUUUGCUAGCCUUAUAACAAUCGUAGAAGAGGAAAAAAGCAAUUUAUUACAAAUAAAAAGAGCUUAAAGAGAAUGUCACUGAAGAUUGUGUAGAAAUCAAUGAAGAAUGAUCGUUGAUGAAAGAAGGAUAAGAUGUUCUGACCACGUGCUUGUAUCAAUCUUGCUAUGGCAAUCUAUCCUCACACGUACGUUUAUUUAUUUAAUGGAUCAAUUUAACGGUAGACGCUUCGUUAAUGUUUUUGUAUUUUCAGUUUCCAAGUUUUUUUUAUGGAAAAGAACAAAAAGUCCACAUGGUAAAGCAUCAUCGAAGGUUCGAGAGAUUGAUAUCUAUAAUAACGAUGGUAGGAAGCGUAAACCAAAGCAUUGGCUUAUUUGAGAUUUUUAUUUGGCGAUAACUUGAAUGAUUGGAACGAAAAAGUGAUUAAAUUUAUUGUCAGGUUUUUCAUUAACUAAUUAUUUAUCAUGUUAUGAAUAAAAGUUCGAUCACUGAAUACGUAAGCCAUCGUUUUAAUGUCUAUAGCAUUAAACGCUGAGAAAAUUUUCAUCAGCGAAUUCGACAAUUAUUUUUUUCGAAUUAAAGGAAGUAAGCGAAUAGAUGAUUGCCGGAUUGUAUUCUCGAAUGCUUGAAGGAAGUAUGAAUUAGAGUCAGCUGAAGGUUCAAUUUAACGUGUAUGAUUUGUCCAGUCGUUAGGAACAAAAUAAAAAUUAGUUUUAUUAAUUACAUUUGAACCAUUUUAACAUUUAAUAAAAUAAAAGUUGUUAUCAACCAGAAGCUUAAAAUUGCAUUUCUUCAAUAUCUAUCGACUUAAAGUGAAGAAAAUGAUACGACUCUGAUUUCAAAUGAUUUGCCUCUCGGCCCUUUUUGCUAUUUAAGAUUUUUCAGGUGGUUGUCAUUUCCUUGGGAGUUAGACUAAAGAAAAAUGAAUUUAUGAUAAGGAUCAAUAUUGACCAGAUCUGGUGUUUUUUGAAAAGGUCAUUAGAUUUUAUAAUAAUCCUGGUGGACCCUUUUCGUUUGGAUACUCUGUGUAUGUAUUUAGGUUACAUAGAGUGACCGAUAUCUUUCCAUUUUUAUCAUUUUGUUUUUCUUCUUGUUUUUGUGUCCUUAUGUAUAAUUUUUUUCUGUUAUUAAAAGUAUUUUAUUUUAAUGAUUAGUAAAUACAAUAUAUAAUGUAUAACGCUUCGAUAGAAUUAUUAAAAUGAGAUAAAUUUAAUCAUCCUGGAUGUUUAUGAUUUGUAAUAGUUUUCUUGUGCAAUUCGUUUUCACACCAAUUUUUGAGAGAAAGGAAAAGGAUGCGUAAGUUAACAAUAUUAUUAUAAUAGUAAGUAGACAAGAAUUCAUUAUUGCAUAAUUCUGUUGAAUUACAACGUGUAAUAUGUCAAAUCGAUAUAAAUAACUGAUGUAAGAAAAAUAAUUCGAAAUGAUUCUUACAGAAGCAUUUUAUUAAUUUAUCAGUUUUCUUCUUAACGAUCUCUUUAGUUGGUGUUAGAAGUAAUGAAUAAAUAAAAAAUGAGAUUUCUUUUUUAUGGAUAGGUAAUAACAUGAUUAUCGUUUUAUUUUGAAUAGUAAAAUGUAAAUAUUUACAAUAAUAAAUGACAAAGAUUUCUAUGGACAGAUA